rnacentral:rRNA from 1 species
UACGGAGGGUGCAAGCGUUAUCCGGAUUCACUGGGUUUAAAGGGUGCGUAGGUGGCUAUAUAAGUCAGUGGUGAAAGCCCCGCGGCUCAACCGUGGAAUUGCCAUUGAAACUGCAUAAGCUUGAGUUACAGUUGAAGUGGGCGGAAGUAAUGUCAUGUAGCGGUGAAAUGACUUAGAUAUGACAUAGAACACCGAUUGCGAAGGACAGCUCACUAAGCUGUAACUGACACUGAGGCACGAAAGCGUGGGUAGCGAACAGG